GUGCUUGCUUCGGCAGCACAUAUACUAAAAUUGGAAUGAUACAGAGAAGAUUAGCAUGGCCCCCUGCACAAGGAUGACAUGCAAAUUCGUGAAGCGUUCCAUAUUUUU
rnacentral:snRNA from 1 species